UUUUAUGGAGAGUUUGAUCCUGGCUCAGGACGAACGCUGGCGGCGUGCUUAACACAUGCAAGUCGAACGAGGUGAU
rnacentral:rRNA from 1 species